CGUUGAAAAACCCGUUUCCGUACGAUCUGCGAAGUUAAGCAACGUCGAGCCUGCUCAAUAAAUAGAUGGGUGACCGCUUAGGAACACCAGGUGCUGUAA